UUAGCAUGAUGAUAAACUAUACAUCAGUUCUGCUUCUGAAAAUACAGGAAGAUAACCAACUUUACCAAAGCUCAAAAAUCUGAUAU
rnacentral:snoRNA from 17 species